GACGAACGCUGGCGGCGUGCUUAACACAUGCAAGUCGAACGGAAAGGCCCUGCUUUUGUGGGGUGCUCGAGUGGCGAACGGGUGAGUAACACGUGAGUAACCUGCCCUUGACUUUGGGAUAACUUCAGGAAACUGGGGCUAAUACCGGAUAGGAGCUCCUGCUGCAUGGUGGGGGUUGGAAAGUUUCGGCGGUUGGGGAUGGACCCGCGGCUUAUCAGCUUGUUGGUGGGGUAGUGGCUUACCAAGGCUUUGACGGGUAGCCGGCCUGAGAGGGUGACCGGCCACAUUGGGACUGAGAUACGGCCCAGUCUCCUACGGGAGGCAGCAGUGGGGAAUAUUGCACAAUGGGCGGAAGCCUGAUGCAGCAACGCCGCGUGCGGGAUGACGGCCUUCGGGUUGUAAACCGCUUUCGCCUGUGACGAAGCGUGAGUGGCGGUAAUGGGUAAAGAAGCACCGGCUAACUACGUG
rnacentral:rRNA from 1 species